rnacentral:rRNA from 1 species
CCUACGGGCGGCUGCAGUGGGGAAUAUUGGACAAUGGGGGCAACCCUGAUCCAGCCAUGCCGCGUGUGUGAAGAAGGCCCUCGGGUUGGAAAGCACUUUCAGUGAGGAAGAACGCCUGGUGGUUAAUACCCAUCAGGAAAGACAUCACUCACAGAAGAAGCACCGGCUAACUCCGUGCCAGCAGCCGCGGUAAUACGGAGGGUGCGAGCGUUAAUCGGAAUUACUGGGCGUAAAGCGCGCGUAGGUGGCUUGAUAAGCCGGUUGUGAAAGCCCCGGGCUCAACCUGGGAACGGCAUCCGGAACUGUCAAGCUAGAGUGCAGGAGAGGAAGGUAGAAUUCCCGGUGUAGCGGUGAAAUGCGUAGAGAUCGGGAGGAAUACCAGUGGCGAAGGCGGCCUUCUGGACUGACACUGACACUGAGGUGCGAAAGCGUGGGUAGCAAACAGGAUUAGAUACCCUGGUAGUC